rnacentral:tRNA from 1 species
UGAACUGUAACUCAAUUGGUAGAGUACCCUGCUGAUAACGGGAAGGUUGUAGGUUCAAAUCCUACCAGUUCAA